UGGCGUCGGACCAAGAAGCCCCGGACGCAGGCCUGGUGUGAAGAAUAAGGGGGAAAGAAAACGCUUAUCACUGCAAAAGUGGGGGGGGUUCCUGGAGGAUUCUCCUGGAGAGCUCAUCCCAGUGACUCUAAGAGGGGACCUGGCCGCGGGAAAAGGAUAGGUGACGCUGUCAGAACAGUCUCCGGGGGUUCAAGGGAGGAUGCUGGACUGGAUCCCCCUCUUCGAUUUGAGGCCCUUCCCGCCACUUCCUGGAUCCCGCAGGAACGUGUGGUGGGAGUGGAAGGCCGGUGGGGGCCCGUGGGUCCCAGCAUUCGUCAGGGCGGUGGGGGUGGGUCGGUAACUCCGGAGGCGGGCACGAGGGUAGGUGGCCGAACGUGGUAGCUUCAUCUCGUUCGAAGACCCCAGUCCGAGACCCCGUGGUGGGAAUCAUGCACUCCCAGCCCGCUCCGCACCUGCAGCACCGACACCCCGCGAAGCAACCGCUCCCGCUCCAUCCGGGCGCCAACGGACCGGCCGCCUGCCGCGCGCCUGCGCCGUGCGUCACUAGUCCGCGCCGCGCACAGGCCCCGCCCCCGCCGUCUCCACGGCAACCUUGCUCCUCCCGCGGUGGCCGCCAGCUCCUGGCACCUGCCUCCAACUCCAGCUUCCAGAACUACGCUGGGAAUUCCAGCUCCUGAGCGGUUCCGCCUAAACCAGUGUGUCGCGCAGCGGUGUCUCUGCGGAGGCCCGGGCCUGCGGUCCCCGGCCGAGUAAAGGCGCAAGGAGGGGAGGGAGCACACGGAGCCGGUGUCUUUCUUUCUGGUUUAAUUUCAUCCAGCGCCCCCCUCCCCCGUAGCACCUGGGGGGCCGCGGAAUACCCGAUCGAGUUCGUAAAAAGUCACAGUUUGAAGGGAAUGAGAGAGGCAGUCUGGUCCUGGGUCCGACACCUACACAGCUGACUGCUCCUCAGGCUCGGCAUUCUCGGCCAGGUGCAACUUCUGUCUGUGCCAGUCAAGGAUUGCGAUGCUUUGGACCCCAGUCUUUCCAGCCCUGUCUCCCCAUCCUAAACAGGCUUAGUUUCCUCAAUUGCACAAAGGGGCAGGGGCGAAGGACUCAGGUGGUCUGUGGUCCAGGUUGCAGUCCACACCUGCCCUUCUUGCUGGGUGGCUUCCCUCCCCUCCCCCCCCCCCCCCCCCCCCCCCCCCCCCCCGCCUGCUCUUUCUCUCUAGAUCAUGCAGUUACAUGCACCCGCACUACUUCUGGCUGAGACUAGAUGCGGAGAUCAUCUAAAUCAGUGAAAAAUAAUUGUUGAAUGUUGAAAAAGUAGAAAGACGUCAGGCAAGUUUUGCCAUGGUGUCAGUAAAGUGCUUGCAAAGAUUUU
rnacentral:lncRNA from 1 species